UACGUAGGGGGCGAGCGUUGUCCGGAAUUACUGGGCGUAAAGAGCGCGUAGGCGGCCCUAUAAGUUCGGUGUGAAAGCCCUCGGCUCAACUGGGGAAUGUCGCGGAAAACUGUCGGGCUGGAGUGUCGGAGAGGGAAGUGGAAGUCCCGGAGUAGGGGUGAAAUGCGUAGAUAUCGGGAGGAACACCUGUGGCGAAAGCGGCUCCCUGGACCACAACUGACGCUGAGGCGCGAAAGCUAGGGGAGCAAACAGG
rnacentral:rRNA from 1 species